rnacentral:rRNA from 1 species
UACGAAGGGGGCAAGCGUUGUUCGGAAUCACUGGGCGUAAAGCGCACGCAGGCGGAUUGAUAAGUCGGGGGUGAAAGCCCGGGGCUUAACCUCGGAAUUGCCUUCGAUACUGUCGGUCUCGAGUCCGGGAGAGGUGAGUGGAAUUCCUAGUGUAGAGGUGAAAUUCGUAGAUAUUAGGAAGAACACCGGUGGCGAAGGCGGCUCACUGGGCCGGUACUGACGCUCAGGUGCGAAAGCGUGGGGAGCAAACAGG